UUUAAUAACUCCUGCCUCCUGAAAGCUACUGUUUUGUGCAUAAAAAUAUAUCUCCAAAUAAAGAAUGAUGGGCUGCAUGACAGUAAAUAUGCACUGAAGGAACUGUUAUGCAUCUGAGAUGAUGUUGCCCUAAGCUUCUAUCAGGAUGCUGCACUGUAAAAGAAAUCUCAUCCACAUAGAGAAAUGCUAGAAUGAACAACAGAUCUCCUGUCUCAUUUGUGGACUUUUCCAGCCUUUGACCUUCAUUCCUCCUGGAUGUAGCAGCCCAGUGUGCAGCAUUUCACCUCAAUCUGCCCUUUUGCCCCCAGGCAAAGGAUUUCCUGGCCAAGGAUCCAACCCUGCAGUUUUGCAAUACUUUGGGAAGAGCAGUUUGUAACUGUACUCUGUCUAGUCCUGCCCUCUAAGCAGGAAUGUCACAGAGCUGGAGCGUUGCUGCUCUGAGCUGUGCAGGCAGGCUGGGGAGUGCUGGGAUCCCAAGUCCUGGAGCAGCUGCACCUCCCAGAGUCCUUCUGUCUUGGUUACAGCAAAGUCAAGGUGUACAGCUGGAAAGAAAAGUGUUCCAACUCCUGUGCUAUAAAGCCCUGAA